AACAUCGACAUUUCGAACGCACAUUGCGGCCCUAGGACUUGUUCCUGGGCCACACCUGACUGAGGGUCGGUUGACCAAACUCAACGACCAGACUGUCCGYGGGCUUAAAAACCCCGGACGAGAUUGGAGUCUCCGCGUCUCGGCGUGGUACUCUUAAAUAAAGUGAGUGUGGGCUCGGCGUUCGCGUCGUCCCACCGAUAUCGCUGCACGGAAGGCAAUCGAGUGGGUUUUCACACGGUCUCACAACCGAGUAGGCUCGUCUCGUUCGCUUGGAUCUGAUGGCAACAUUGGUCCCGUGCGCUCGUUUUCGAUUUCGAUAAACGCGGCGCCGCGGUCUAGUUUGCUUGAGCACAGUGGUCCCCUCGGGACAAAGAUCCAGGCGGGCGGCGCGUGCACGAGUCUCGAGGCUAUUGUGAAAUACUCUUUAUUCUGUGCAGUGAGCAGCGCUUCGUCUCCCAGGGCGAUUCGCUAUCACGACCUCAGUUCAGGUGAGACU
rnacentral:rRNA from 1 species